rnacentral:rRNA from 1 species
GAUGAACGCUGGCGGCGUGCUUAACACAUGCAAGUCGAACGGAAAGGCCCAAGCUUGCUUGCGUACUCGAUAGGCGAACGGGUGAGUAACACGUGGGUGAUCUGUCCUGCACUUCGGGAUAAGACUGGGAAACUGCGUCUAAUACCGGAUAUGACGAUGGUUUGCAUGCCAUUGUGGAAAGUUUUUGCGGUGUGGGAUGAGGUCGCGGCCUAUCAGCUUGUCGGUGGGGUAAUGGCCUACCAAGGCGUUGACGGGUAGCCGGCCUGAGAGGGUGUACGGCCGGAUCAGAAUCGUGAUGGGGGCCAGAGUCCGGAAUGAGGCAGCAGGGGGGAAUGUUGGACAAUGGGAGGAAGCGUGAUGCAUCGAGGCCGUGUGGGGGUAGACGGCUUUCGGGUUGUAAGCUCCUAUCGCUAGGGAAGAGGCGAUUUUGUGACGGUACCUGGAGAAGAAGCAACGGCUAACUACGUG